rnacentral:tRNA from 1 species
AAGUAAGAAACAAAUAAAUUGUAAUCAGUUUCGGCCUGAUAAUAAGAUAUAAAUAUAUCCUUAUUUU